rnacentral:pre_miRNA from 1 species
AGGAGCAUGACUGUUCUUGGCACUUGUAGAAUUCACUGAAUCAACAGAUACCCUCAGUGAUUCCACGGUGCCAAACUAGAAAUGUUCCA